UAUUAAAAAAAUUCAUUUAUUUGUACUAUUAAAAACUGGCGUAAUUGUUAGAAUAAUCAUAUAGUGACACGUGACGUACCACAUGUAUCUCAUGUUGAUGUACAAGGGUUAGUUUCUAACAAUAAAAACUGAUGAAAUUUUUAACA
rfam:Gossypium hirsutum cultivar TM-1 chromosome 12, whole genome shotgun sequence